UCAAGUUUCUAAGAGCAAACGGUGGAUGCCUUGGCAUCUGGAGCCGAAGAAGGACGUAGCAAUCUGCGAUAAGCCUCGGGGAGCUGAUAAGCGAGCUUUGAUCCGAGGAUGUCCGAAUGGGGAAACCCCGCUGGGAGCUUCGUGCUACCCAGUGACUCCCGCCUGAAUAUAUAGGGCGGGUAGAGGGAACGUGGGGAAGUGAAACAUCUCAGUACCCACAGGAAGAGAAAACAACAGUGAUUCCGGUAGUAGUGGCGAGCGAAACCGGAACAGGCUAAACCGAUCAUGUGUGAUAGCCGGCAGGCGUUGCAUGGUCGGGGUUGUGGGACUCUUACGGUUUUCUGCCGAAAACCACGUAGAUAGUUGUUGUAUAGACGAAUGGUCUUGAAAGGCCAGCCGCAGAGGGUGCCAGCCCCGUAGUCGAAAUGCAGCACUAAUGCGAAGAGGAUCCCAAGUAUCACGGGGCCCGAGAAAUCCCGUGUGAAUCCGCCAGGACCACCUGGUAAGCCUAAAUACUCCCAGAUGACCGAUAGCGGACAAGUACCGUGAGGGAAAGGUGAAAAGUACCCCGGGAGGGGAGUGAAAUAGAACCUGAAACCGUUUGCUUACAAUCCGUUGGAGCCUCCUUGUAGGGGUGACAGCGUGCCUUUUGAAGAAUGAGCCUGCGAGUUAGCGAUAUGUGGCGAGGUUAACCCGUGAGGGGUAGCCGUAGCGAAAGCGAGUCUGAAUAGGGCGAUUCAGUCGCAUGUCCUAGACCCGAAGCGAAGUGAUCUAUCCAUGGCCAGGUUGAAGCGACGGUAAGACGUCGUGGAGGACCGAACCCACUUGGGUUGAAAACCGAGGGGAUGAGCUGUGGAUAGGGGUGAAAGGCCAAUCAAACUUCGUGAUAGCUGGUUCUCUCCGAAAUGCAUUUAGGUGCAGCGUUGCGUGUUUCUUACCGGAGGUAGAGCUACUGGAUGGCCAAUGGGCCUAAAAGGUUACUGACGUCAGCCAAACUCCGAAUGCCGGUAAGUAAGAGCGCAGCAGUGAGACGGUGGGGGAUAAGCUUCAUCGUCGAGAGGGAAACAACCCAGACUACCGACUAAGGUCCCAAAGCGUGUGCUAAGUGGAAAAGGAUGUGGAGUUGCAUAGACAACCAGGAGGUUGGCUUAGAAGCAGCCACCCUUGAAAGAGUGCGUAAUAGCUCACUGGUCAAGUGAUUCCGCGCCGACAAUUUAACGGGGCUCAAGCACACCACCGAAGUCGUAGCAUUCAAACUAUAGGCAGGCCUUCGUGGUCCAGCCGUGUGAAUGGGUAGGAGAGCGUCGUGUGGCGAGUGAAGCGGCGGAGUGAUCCAGCCGUGGACGCCACACGAGUGAGAAUGCAGGCAUGAGUAGCGAAAGACGGGUGAGAAACCCGUCCUCCGGAAGACCAAGGGUUCCAGGGCCAGGCUAAUCCGCCCUGGGUAAGUCGGGACCUAAGACGAGGCCGACAGGCGUAGUCGAUGGACAACGGGUUGAUAUUCCCGUACCCGCGAAGAACCGCAAGAGCUAAACCAGUAAUGCUAAGAGUCCGAAUUCUCUUUCUGAUCCCUUCGGGGUGAGGAUUGAGAGCUAGCACUCGACCCUAUGCUGGCGCGGCUAGCGUAUUAACAGGUGUGACGCAGGAAGGUAGCUGAGCCGGGCGAUGGUAGUCCCGGUGUAAGGAUGUAGGGCGAGGAAUAGGCAAAUCCGUUCCUCACGAAGCCUGAGAUCCGACGCGUACCCCUCACGGGGGAAAUCAGUGAUCCUAUGCUGCCAAGAAAAGCAUCGACGCGAGGUUCUAGUGGCCCGUACCCCAAACCGACUCAGGUGGUCAGGUAGAGAAUACUAAGGAGAUCGAGAGAAUCGUGGUUAAGGAACUCGGCAAAAUGCCCCCGUAACUUCGGGAGAAGGGGGGCCGGAUUGGUGAAGGGAUUUACUCCUGGAGCUAUGAAGGCCGCAGAGACCAGUGGGAAGCGACUGUUUACUAAAAACACAGGUCCGUGCUAAGUCGCAAGACGAUGUAUACGGACUGACGCCUGCCCGGUGCUGGAAGGUUAAGAGGAGCGGUUAGCACUUGUGCGAAGCUGCGAAUUUAAGCCCCAGUAAACGGCGGUGGUAACUAUAACCAUCCUAAGGUAGCGAAAUUCCUUGUCGGGUAAGUUCCGACCUGCACGAAUGGCGUAACGACUUCCCAGCUGUCUCAACCGCGAACUCGGCGAAAUUGCACUACGAGUAAAGAUGCUCGUUACGCGCAGCAGGACGGAAAGACCCCGUGACCUUUACUACAGCUUUGUAUUGGUGUUCGGUGUGGCUUGUGUAGGAUAGGUGGGAGACUUUGAAGCGGACACGCCAGUGUUUGUGGAGUCAUUGUUGAAAUACCACUCUGGUCACUCUGGAUAUCUAACUUCGAACCGUAAUCCGGUUCAGGACAGUGCAUGGUGGGUAGUU
rnacentral:rRNA from 1 species